AUUGAACGCUGGCGGCAGGCUUAACACAUGCAAGUCGAGCGAGCGGCGGACGGGUGAGUAAUGUCUGGGAAACUGCCUGAUGGAGGGGGAUAACUACUGGAAACGGUAGCUAAUACCGCAUACUAUCAGAUGUGCCCAGAUGGGAUUAGCUAGUAGGUGGGGUAAUGGCUCACCUAGGCGACGAUCCCUAGCUGGGCUGAGAGGAUGAGCAGCCCCACUGGAACGGAGACACGGUCCAGACUCCUACGGGAGGCAGCAGUGGGGAAUAUUGCUCGAUGGGCGCAAGCCUGAGACAGCCAUGCCGCGUGUGUGAAGAAGGCCUUCGGGUUGUAAAGCACUUUCAGCUAGGAGGCGUUACUCGCAGAAGAAGCACCGGCUAACUCCGUGCCAGCAGCCGCGGUAAUUC
rnacentral:rRNA from 1 species